UACAGAGGGUGCAAGCGUUAAUCGGAAUUAUUGGGCGUAAAGGGCAUGUAGGUGGCUUGUUAAGUCUGAUGUGAAAGCCCUGGGCUUAACCUGGGAAUUGCGUUGGAAACUGACGAGCUAGAGUCGGACAGAGGGCCGUGGAAUUUCCGGUGUAGCAGUGAAAUGCGUAGAGAUCGGAAAGAACACCCGUGGCGAAGGCGGCAUCCUGGACCAAUAUUGACGCUGAGGAGCGAAAGCCAGGGGAGCAAACGGG
rnacentral:rRNA from 1 species